UACGAAGGGGGCUAGCGUUGCUCGGAAUGACUGGGCGUAAAGGGCGCGUAGGCGGAGUCGACAGUCAGAUGUGAAAUUCCCGGGCUUAACCUGGGGGCUGCAUUUGAUACGUGUGAUCUAGAGUGAGGAAGAGGGUCGUGGAAUUCCCAGUGUAGAGGUGAAAUUCGUAAGAUAUUGGGAAGAACACCGGUGGCGAAGGCGGCGACCUGGUCCUUGACUGACG
rnacentral:rRNA from 1 species